rnacentral:misc_RNA from 1 species
AAUUCUCAAUGCACUGCCUUGUGCUCUGCUUUGGAUUUGAAGAUUGCUGGCUUAAACCAGAGUCAGCUUCUUUGAAAUGCAUUAGUAGGAUCAUCAUGCUGGAUCGAUACAGGUGUGAUAAAUUAUCACCAUCUGAGAUUAGGCAAAAGAACCUGCUCAUAACAAACACCCCUUUUGACA